rnacentral:rRNA from 1 species
UACGUAGGGGGCAAGCGUUGUCCGGAUUUAUUGGGCGUAAAGAGCGUGUAGGCGGCCUGGUAGGUCAGCUGUGAAAACUCGAGGCUCAACCUCGAGACGUCGGUUGAAACCAUCUGGCUAGAGUCCGGAAGAGGAGAGUGGAAUUCCUGGUGUAGCGGUGAAAUGCGCAGAUAUCAGGAAGAACACCCGUGGCGAAGGCGGCUCUCUGGGACGGUACUGACGCUGAGACGCGAAAGCGUGGGGAGCGAACAGG